rnacentral:tRNA from 1 species
GUUAGCUCAGUUGGUAGAGCAACUGACUCUUAAUCAGUGGGUCAAGGGUUCGAGUCCCUCAC